UACGUAGGGGGCGAGCGUUGUCCGGAAUCAUUGGGCGUAAAGGGCUCGUAGGCGGUUUGUCGCGUCGGGAGUGAAAACUCAGGGCUUAACCCUGAGCCUGCUUCCGAUACGGGCAGACUAGAGGUAUGCAGGGGAGAACGGAAUUCCUGGUGUAGCGGUGAAAUGCGCAGAUAUCAGGAGGAACACCGGUGGCGAAGGCGGUUCUCUGGGCAUUACCUGACGCUGAGGAGCGAAAGUGUGGGGAGCGAACAGG
rnacentral:rRNA from 1 species